rnacentral:rRNA from 1 species
AUACGGAGGAUGCGAGCGUUAUCCGGAUUUAUUGGGUUUAAAGGGAGCGUAGGCGGGAGCUUAAGUCAGCGGUUAAAUGGUGCGGCUCAACCGUGCCCUGCCGUUGAAACUGGGUUUCUUGAGAGUGCAAGAGGCGGAUGGAAUUCAUGGUGUAGCGGUGAAAUGCUUAGAUAUCAUGAAGAACUCCGAUUGCGAAGGCAGUCCGCUGGGGCACGUGUGACGCUGAUGCUCGAAGGUGCGGGAAUCAAACAGGAUUAGAUACCCUGGUAGUCCGCACGGUAAACGAUGAUUACCCGCUGUCGGCGGCAGACAGUCGGCGGCCAAGCGAAAGCGAUAAGUAAUCCACCUGGGGAGUACGCCGGCAACGGUGAAACUCAAAUGAAUUGACGGGG